rnacentral:lncRNA from 1 species
GGACCUUAAUGUAGUGUCAAACAAUUUAAGGAUUCACUGCACCAUUGGAGCCGCUAGAGAGUGCUGUAAAGGUAGGUUUGAGUGAUAUUUUAAUAUUUUUUAUAUAAUAAAAUUUGAUUUUGAUUGUAUUUAUUAGGUUUAUAGAUAGCUAUCAUACUAAUGAUUUAUUCAUUAUUGUUUCUGACUAUUCUCCGUAGGU